GGGACUACUCCUUGAAAAGGUUUUGGUGUCCUAAUUUCAUUUAUCCUUGGAAGACUGGGUUUUGGCUCUUAUCGAUCUGGAUGAGGCUUUUAACUAUUUUAAAUUCCAUGUGGAAGCCAGACUUGUACAUGUUGUGGUCUGAAAUUUUUUUAAUAGCAAAUUAAUGGCUUCUGUAAAGAAAACAGUAUUCAACAGAAGUUACCGGGAGAGGCUUUUCCCCCCUCUUUCAUUAAGGAUUGGCUUGACCACAGUCCUGGCCAGGCUGAGCUUAUCAUACGCAUGAAACCUAAUAAUUGUUGCGAGGAAAGGCAAACACUGCCUUUUGGCAUUGCACUAACUUAAAACAGACAAUUAACAGCCCAUUAGAUGACUACUAAA
rnacentral:misc_RNA from 1 species